rnacentral:rRNA from 1 species
CGCACAAGCGGUGGAUGAUGUGGUUUAAUUCGAUGCAACGCGAAAAACCUUACCCACCUUUGACAUGUACGGAAUUUUCCAGAGAUGGAUUAGUGCUCGAAAGAGAACCGUAACACAGGUGCUGCAUGGCUGUCGUCAGCUCGUGUCGUGAGAUGUUGGGUUAAGUCCCGCAACGAGCGCAACCCUUGUCAUUAGUUGCUACAUUCAGUUGGGCACUCUAAUGAGACUGCCGGUGACAAACCGGAGGAAGGUGGGGAUGACGUCAAGUCCUCAUGGCCCUUAUAGGUGGGGCUACACACGUCAUACAAUGGCUGGUACAAAGGGUUGCCAACCCGCGAGGGGGAGCUAAUCCCAUAAAACCAGUCGUAGUCCGGAUCGCAGUCUGCAACUCGACUGCGUGAAGUCGGAAUCGCUAGUAAUCGUGGAUCAGAAUGUCACGGUGAAUACGUUCCCGGGUCUUGUACACACCGCCCGUCACACCAUGGGAGCGGGUUCUGCCAGAAGUAGUUAGCCUAACCGCAAGGAGGGCGAUUACCACGGCAGGGUUCGUGACUGGGGUGAAGUCGUAACAAGGUAGCCGUAUCGGAAGGUGCGGCUGGAUCACCUCCUU